rnacentral:rRNA from 1 species
UACAGAGGGUGCAAGCGUUGUUCGGAAUUAUCGGGCGUAAAGCGCGUGUAGGCGGCUUUGCAAGUCGGGUGUGAAAGCCCUCAGCUCAACUGAGGAAGUGCGCCCGAAACUGCAUGGCUUGAGUACCGGAGAGGAUGGUGGAAUUCCCGAAGUAGAGGUGAAAUUCGUAGAUAUCGGGAGGAACACCGGUGGCGAAGGCGACCAUCUGGACGGAUACUGACGCUGAGACGCGAAAGCGUGGGUAGCAAACAGG